CUCUAAGCAUCAGGUAACAUCAAAUCGUACCCCAAACCGACACAGGUGGUCAGGUAGAGAAUACCAAGGCGCUUGAGAGAACUCGGGUGAAGGAACUAGGCAAAAUGGUGCCGUAACUUCGGGAGAAGGCACGCUGAUAUGUAGGUGAAGUCCCUCGCGGAUGGAGCUGAAAUCAGUCGAAGAUACCAGCUGGCUGCAACUGUUUAUUAAAAACACAGCACUGUGCAAACACGAAAGUGGACGUAUACGGUGUGACGCCUGCCCGGUGCCGGAAGGUUAAUUGAUGGGGUCAGCGCAAGCGAAGCUCUUGAUCGAAGCCCCGGUAAACGGCGGCCGUAACUAUAACGGUCCUAAGGUAGCGAAAUUCCUUGUCGGGUAAGUUCCGACCUGCACGAAUGGCGUAAUGAUGGCCAGGCUGUCUCCACCCGAGACUCAGUGAAAUUGAACUCGCUGUGAAGAUGCAGUGUACCCGCGGCAAGACGGAAAGACCCCGUGAACCUUUACUAUAGCUUGACACUGAACAUUGAGCCUUGAUGUGUAGGAUAGGUGGGAGGCUUUGAAGUGUGGACGCCAGUCUGCAUGGAGUCGACCUUGAAAUACCACCCUUUAAUGUUUGAUGUUCUAACGUGGACCCGUGAUCCGGGUUGCGGACAGUGUCUGGUGGGUAGUUUGACUGGGGCGGUCUCCUCCUAAAGAGUAACGGAGGAGCACGAAGGUUGGCUAAUCCUGGUCGGACAUCAGGAGGUUAGUGCAAUGGCAUAAGCCAGCUUGACUGCGAGCGUGACGGCGCGAGCAGGUGCGAAAGCAGGUCAUAGUGAUCCGGUGGUUCUGAAUGGAAGGGCCAUCGCUCAACGGAUAAAAGGUACUCCGGGGAUAACAGGCUGAUACCGCCCAAGAGUUCAUAUCGACGGCGGUGUUUGGCACCUCGAUGUCGGCUCAUCACAUCCUGGGGCUGAAGUAGGUCCCAAGGGUAUGGCUGUUCGCCAUUUAAAGUGGUACGCGAGCUGGGUUUAGAACGUCGUGAGACAGUUCGGUCCCUAUCUGCCGUGGGCGAUGGAGAACUGAGGGGGGCUGCUCCUAGUACGAGAGGACCGGAGUGGACGCAUCACUGGUGUUCGGGUUGUCAUGCCAAUGGCACUGCCCGGUAGCUAAAUGCGGAAGAGAUAAGUGCUGAAAGCAUCUAAGCACGAAACUUGCCCCGAGAUGAGUUCUCCCUGACCCUUUAAGGGUCCUGAAGGAACGUUGAAGACGACAACGUUGAUAGGCCGGGUGUGUAAGCGCAGCGAUGCGUUGAGCUAACCGGUACUAAUGAACCGUGAGGCUUAACCUU
rnacentral:rRNA from 1 species